CAAUAUGGAUCAUUUUGGGGGUUGCUCUAUUAUGAUUGAUGUAUAGUUGGCAUAUUGAGAGGUGAAGCCAAGUAGACAUGGUUGUACAAAAAGGCAUAGGUCAUUCUAUUAACAACGUCACUACUGCUCUUGAUGAAGGACACCCACAAACAAUUCAAAAUAUAUCAUCAAAAGAAUUUUGAGAUUGAGCAUCUAGAAAGUGAGUUACAACCAUCCUUUUGCACUUGGAAGAAAAAUGAUGUAAAACUAGAUGUAGUGAAGGUUAUGAAGAAUUCAAAG